rnacentral:rRNA from 1 species
GUUAGGAAUAUUGGACAAUGGGCGAAAGCCUGAUCCAGCCAUGCCGCGUGAACGAUGAAGGCCUUCGGGUUGUAAAGUUCUUUAGCCGAUGAUUAUAAUGACUGUAGUCGGAAAAUAAGCCCCGGCUAACUUCGUGCCAGCAGCCGCGGUAAUACGAAGGGGGCGAGCGUUAUUCGGAAUCACUGGGCGUAAAGCGUGCGUAGGCGGUUUUGUAAGUUAGUAGUGAAAGCCCAGGGCUCAACCUUGGAAUUGCUCUUAAAACUGCAAGGCUCGAAUCUCGGAGAGGAUAGCGGAAUUUCCAGUGUAGCAGUGAAAUGCGUAGAUAUUGGAAGGAACACCAGUGGCGUAAGCGGCUAUCUGGACGAGUAUUGACGCUGAGGCACGAAAGCGUGGGGAUCAAACAGGAUUAGAAACCCUAGUAGUCC